UACGGGGGGAGCAAGCGUUGUUCGGAUUUACUGGGCGUAAAGGGCGCGUAGGCGGUAGCACAAGUCAGUUGUGAAAUCUCCGGGCUUAACUCGGAAAGGUCAACUGAUACUGUGCGACUAGAGUGCAGAAGGGGCAACUGGAAUUCUCGGUGUAGCGGUGAAAUGCGUAGAUAUCGAGAGGAACACCGGUGGCGAAGGCGGCCAACUGGACGAAUACUGAUGCUGAGACACGAAAGCGUGGGGAGCAAACAGG
rnacentral:rRNA from 1 species